rnacentral:tRNA from 5 species
UCUGGCAUCAUAUAGUGGUAUUAUGCUGGUUUUGUACUCCAGUCACCGAGGUUCGAUUCCUCGUGCCAGAAC